rnacentral:rRNA from 1 species
UACGUAGGGUGCGAGCGUUAAUCGGAAUUACUGGGCGUAAAGCGUGCGCAGGCGGUGAUGUAAGACAGAUGUGAAAUCCCCGGGCUUAACCUGGGAACUGCAUUUGUGACUGCAUCGCUGGAGUGCGGCAGAGGGGGAUGGAAUUCCGCGUGUAGCAGUGAAAUGCGUAGAUAUGCGGAGGAACACCGAUGGCGAAAGCAAUCCCCUGGGCCUGCACUGACGCUCAUGCACGAAAGCGUGGGGAGCAAACAGG